GAAGGAGUGUGUAUUCCAUCGGAAGGUUUUUUUACUGUCCGGCUUUUCAAGUUCUUCAACAAUUUGGAUUUUGACACUCUUGCGGAGACCAUGAAGACUAACCUCGUCAUGACUGUCGUGUUUCUGACAGCACUGUUCUGGAUCCCAAUCAGCUGCUGCAUUUCCUGCAUGGACAGGAAAAACAAGGCACGCAAAAUACCACCCACUGAAAGAACUUCUUCGUCCGUGGAGCGCGAGUCUUAUGAAAUGGGGAAUGUGAAUCCUGCAGGAUCUUCUGUCAAUCUGGCAGGAUCUUUAAUCGACCCUGCAGGAUCUUCAAUUGAUC